rnacentral:rRNA from 1 species
CCAAUAGCGUAUAUUAAAGUUGUUGCGGUUAAAAAGCUCGUAGUUGGAUCUGUGUCUCGCACCGUCGGUUCACCGCCUGUCGGUGUUCAACUGGCGUUUUAGCGAGACGUACUGCCGGUGGCCGACCGGUCCCCGAGGGGUUAACCCUAGGUCGUUCCCCUCGGUUCUCGAGGCGGCGCGUCCGAAGGCCCUCACGGUGAGUCCGGCGGCCUUGUCAAUCCCGUCGCGGUGCUCUUAAACGAGUGUCGGGGCGGGCCGGCACGUUUACUUUGAACAAAUUAGAGUGCUUUAAGCGAGGCAGAGUGAUUGCCUGUAUGUUGUGUGCAUGGAAUAAUGGAAUAGGACCUCGGUUCUAUUUUGUUGGUUUUCGGAACCUGAGGUAAUGAUCAAUGGGGACUGGCGGGGGCAUUCGUAUUGCGGCGUUAGAGGUGAAAUUCUUGGAUCGUCGCAAGACGAACAGAAGCGAAAGCAUUUGCCAAGUAUGUCCUCGUCGAUCAAGAACGAAAGUUAGAGGUUCGAAGGCGAUCAGAUACCGCCCUAGUUCUAACCAUAAACUAUGCCUGCCAGCGAUCCGUCGCAGUUCAUAAGAUGACUCGGCGGGCAGCUUUUCGGGAAACCAAAGCUUUUGGGUUCCGGGGGAAGUAUGGUUGCAAAGCUGAAACUUAAAGGAAUUGACGGAAGGGCACCACCAGGAGUGGAGCCUGCGGCUUAAUUUGACUCAACACGGGAAAACUCACCAGGCCCGGACACCAUAAGGAUUGACAGAUUGAGAGCUCUUUCUUGAUUCGGUGGGUGGUGGUGCAUGGCCGUUCUUAGUUCGUGGAGCGAUUUGUCUGGUUAAUUCCGAUAACCGAGCGAGACUCUAGCCUACUAAAUAGCCGUACCCGGUAUCCACAAUCGUGCUACCGGCGUACAAUUAUCUUCUUAGAGGGACAGGCGGCUUCUAGCCGCACGAGACUGAGCAAUAACAGGUCUGUGAUGCCCUUAGAUGUCCUGGGCCGCACGCGCGCUACACUGAAGGAAUCAGCGUGUCUUCCCUGUCCGAAAGGACCGGGUAACCCGUUGAACCUCCUUUGUGCUUGGGAUUGGGGCUUGCAAUUGCUCCCCAUGAACGAGGAAUUCCCAGUAAGCGCGAGUCAUAAGCUCGCGUUGAUUACGUCCCUGCCCUUUGUACACACCGCCCGUCGCUACUACCGAUUGAAUGAUUUAGUGAGGUCUUCGGACCGGUGCGCGGAGGCCGCUUCGCGGUCUCUCCGAUGUCGCUGGAAAGAUGACCAAACUUGAUCAUUU